AGUGAACGCUGGCGGCGUGCUUAACACAUGCAAGUCGAACGAGAACGGAAUAUAGCUUGCUAUAUUUGUCAGCUAAGUGGCGCACGGGUGAGUAAUGUAUAGAUAACCUGCCCUUAAGAAAGGAAUAACAGUUGGAAACGACUGCUAAUGCCCUAUAUGCCUUUAAUACAUAAGUAUGCAAGGGAAACGCCUUAGUGCUUAAGGAUGGGUCUGUAUGGUAUCAGCUUGUUGGUGAGGUAAUGGCUCACCAAGGCUAUGACGCCUAACUGGUUUGAGAGGAUGAUCAGUCACACUGGAACUGAGACACGGUCCAGAAUCCUACGGGAGGCAGCAGUGGGGAAUAUUGCACAAUGGACGAAAGUCUGAUGCAGCAACGCCGCGUGGAGGAUGACACAUUUCGGUGCGUAAACUCCUUUUAUAUAGGAAGAUAAUGACGGUACUAUAUGAAUAAGCACCGGCUAACUACGUGCCAGCCGCCGCGGUAA
rnacentral:rRNA from 1 species